rnacentral:rRNA from 1 species
CGAAGGGUGCAAGCGUUACUCGGAAUUACUGGGCGUAAAGCGUGCGUAGGUGGUUCGUUAAGUCAGAUGUGAAAGCCCCGGGCUCAACCUGGGAGUUGCAUUUGAUACUGGCGGGCUAGAGUGCGGUAGAGGAGAGUGGAAUUCCCGGUGUAGCAGUGAAAUGCGUAGAGAUCGGGAGGAACAUCAGUUGCGAAGGCGGCUCUCUGGACCAGCACUGACACUGAGGCACGAAAGCGUGGGGAGCAAACAGGAUUAGAUACCCUGGUAGUCCACGCCCUAAACGAUGCGAACUGGACGUUGGGAGCAAUCAGGCUCUCAGUGUCGAAGCUAACGCGUUAAGUUCGCCGCCUGGGGAGUACGGUCGCAAGACUG